UGUGGUCAAGUUUUUAAGGGCACACGGUGGAUGCCUUGGCAUCAGGAGCCGAAGAAGGACGUAGGAAUCUGCGAUAAGCCUGGGGGAGUUGAUAACCGAGCGUUGAUCCCAGGAUGUCCGAAUGGGGAAACCCCGCCCGGCGCGCGAGUGACCGGGUGACCCGCAUCUGAACACAUAGGGUGCGUGGAGGGAACGCGGGGAAGUGAAACAUCUCAGUACCCGCAGGAAGAGAAAACAAUAGUGAUUCCGUUAGUAGUGGCGAGCGAACGCGGAAGAGGCUAAACCAGUGGUGUGUGAUAGCCGGCGGGCGUUGCAUCACUGGGGUUGUGGGACUUUCCGUACCAGUUCUGCCGGAUUGGUGAAGUGAGUGCAGGUGCAUAGGUGAACUGGUUUGAAAGCCAGGCCGUAGAGGGUGUUAGCCCCGUAACCGGAAUGUAUGCUGCCGCUUGGAGAGGAUCCCAAGUAGCACGGGGCCCGAGAAAUCCCGUGCGAAUCUGCCAGGACCACCUGGUAAGCCUAAAUACUCCCUGAUGACCGAUAGCGGACAAGUACCGUGAGGGAAAGGUGAAAAGUACCCCGGGAGGGGAGUGAAAUAGUACCUGAAACCGUGUGCCUACAAACCGUCGGAGCAGCCUUGUAGCUGUGACGGCGUGCCUUUUGAAGAAUGAGCCUGCGAGUUAGUGUUACGUCGCGAGGUUAACCCGUGUGGGGAAGCCGUAGCGAAAGCGAGUCUGAAUAGGGCGAGUGAGUGGCGUGAUCUAGACCCGAAGCGGAGUGAUCUACCCAUGGCCAGGUUGAAGCGCGUGUAAGAGCGCGUGGAGGACCGAACCCACUUCAGUUGAAAAUGGAGGGGAUGAGCUGUGGGUAGGGGUGAAAGGCCAAUCAAACUCCGUGAUAGCUGGUUCUCCCCGAAAUGCAUUUAGGUGCAGCGUUGCGUGUUUCUUACCGGAGGUAGAGCUACUGGAUGGCCGAUGGGCCCUACAAGGUUACUGACGUCAGCCAAACUCCGAAUGCCGGUAAGUGAGAGCGCAGCAGUGAGACUGUGGGGGAUAAGCUUCAUAGUCGAGAGGGAAACAGCCCAGACCACCAACUAAGGCCCCUAAGCGUGUGCUAAGUGGGAAAGGAUGUGGAGUUGCCCAGACAACCAGGAGGUUGGCUUAGAAGCAGCCACCCUUGAAAGAGUGCGUAAUAGCUCACUGGUCAAGUGAUUCCGCGCCGACAAUGUAGCGGGGCUCAAGUACACCGCCGAAGUUGUGGAUUUCAGAUUUUUGGUAAGCCUUCGUGGUUCAGCCGUCUGGAGUGGUAGGGGAGCGUCGUGUGGGCAGUGAAGCUGCGGUGUAAACCAGUGGUGGAGCCUACACGAGUGAGAAUGCAGGCAUGAGUAGCGAAAGACGGGUGAGAAACCCGUCCGCCGAAUGAUCAAGGGUUCCAGGGUCAAGCUAAUCUGCCCUGGGUAAGUCGGGACCUAAGGCGAGGCCGACAGGCGUAGUCGAUGGACAACGGGUUGAUAUUCCCGUACCGGCGAAAAACCGCCCAUACCAAACGGGGGAUACUAACCGCCCAAUACCUGACCGGCCGCCCUUGUGGCGACCCGGUUUUUGGUGGAGCGCGGGACCGUAACCCGGGAGGUAAGCGUAUUAACAGGUGUGACGCAGGAAGGUAGCCGGGCCAGGCGAUGGUAGUCCUGGUCUAAGGAUGUAGGGUCAGUGAUAGGCAAAUCCGUCACUGUGUCUUNNNNNNNNNNNNNNNNNNNNNNNNNNNNNNNNNNNNNNNNNNNNNNNNNNNNNNNNNNNNNNNNNNNNNNNNNNNNNNNNNNNNNNNNNNNNNNNNNNNNAUGACGCACCUGAGAUCUGAUGGGACCCCCGAACGGGGGAAUCCGGUGAUCCUAUGCUGCCUAGAAAAGCAUCGGCGCGAGGUUUUAGCCGCCCGUACCCCAAACCGACACAGGUGAUCAGGUAGAGAAUACUAAGGCGAUCGAGAGAAUUAUGGUUAAGGAACUCGGCAAAAUGCCCCCGUAACUUCGGGAGAAGGGGGGCCUGCCCCGUGAUGGAAACUUGCUUUCCGGAGCGGGUGUGGGCCGCAGAGACCAGGGGGAAGCGACUGUUUACUAAAAACACAGGUCCGUGCGAAGUCGCAAGACGAUGUAUACGGACUGACUCCUGCCCGGUGCUGGAAGGUUAAGAGGACCGGUUAGCCCUUACGGGCGAAGCUGGGAAUUUAAGCCCCAGUAAACGGCGGUGGUAACUAUAACCAUCCUAAGGUAGCGAAAUUCCUUGUCGGGUAAGUUCCGACCUGCACGAAUGGAGUAACGACUUCCCCGCUGUCUCAACCAUAAACUCGGCGAAAUUGCAGUACGAGUAAAGAUGCUCGUUACGCGCAGCAGGACGGAAAGACCCCGAGACCUUUACUAUAGUUUGGUAUUGGUGUUCGGUGUGGCUUGUGUAGGAUAGGUGGGAGACUGUGAGACCCGGACGCCAGUUCGGGUGGAGUCAUCGUUGAAAUACCACUCUGGUCAUACUGGAUAUCUAACUUCGGCCCGUAAUCCGGGUCAGGGACAGUGCCUGAUGGGUAGUUUAACUGGGGCGGUUGCCUCCUAAAGAGUAACGGAGGCGCCCAAAGGUUCCCUCAGCCUGGUUGGCAAUCAGGUGUCGAGUGUAAGUGCACAAGGGAGCUUGACUGUGAGAGAGACAUCUCAAGCAGGGACGAAAGUCGGGACUAGUGAUCCGGCGGUACAUUGUGGAAUGGCCGUCGCUCAACGGAUAAAAGGUACCUCGGGGAUAACAGGCUGAUCUUGCCCAAGAGUCCAUAUCGACGGCAUGGUUUGGCACCUCGAUGUCGGCUCGUCGCAUCCUGGGGCUGGAGUAGGUCCCAAGGGUUGGGCUGUUCGCCCAUUAAAGCGGUACGCGAGCUGGGUUUAGAACGUCGUGAGACAGUUCGGUCCCUAUCCGCUGCGCGCGCAGGAAAUUUGAGAAGGGCUGUCCUUAGUACGAGAGGACCGGGACGGACGAACCUCUGGUGUGUCAGUUGUACUGCCAAGUGCACCGCUGAUUAGCUACGUUCGGAUGGGAUAACCGCUGAAAGCAUCUAAGCGGGAAGCCUGCUUCGAGAUGAGAUUUCCAUACACCUUGUGUGUGAGAGGCCCCCAGCCAGACCACUGGGUUGAUAGGCCGGAUGUGGAAGCGGGGACUAAAGACCCGUGAAGCUGACCGGUACUAAUAGGCCGAUAACUUACACCACAACACACUCUGGCGGAACACG
rnacentral:rRNA from 1 species